UCUUCCUCAGCCAACGCAUAUGCAACUGAUCGAGCUGCAAAACAUGGUGAUGAUAUAUUGUCCAUGACUCCAAGCCAUACAGCAGGACAUUCAGGACAACUGCCUGAUAAACCACUAUCUUGGCGUCGGAGAUUGAAAAUGAGUUGUCACUGACCCGAAGCCCCAUGAAAGCCACGAAACUCAAUCGAUAUUUCUGCCCCAUUUCACUGCAGAGCCAGAGAGCUUGCAGCCUUUGGCCUGAAGGGGAUGUGGAAAUCCGGAUGCCUCAUCAAAAGCUGACUGUGAUUCUGUGCCUCUGUCACCUCCUCUCCCCAACACCCUUGCUCACACACGCUAAUAAAAAC